AAGUCGUAACAAGGUUUCCGUAGGUGAACCUGCGGAAGGAUCAUUAACAACAUAUCCUAACUAAAAAACCCUGUGAACUUUCAAUGUCCCGAACCUUUGAUCCGAGGACUUCAGCAAUCUCUGGUAAAUCAUAGUGAACAGCUUUUGAUUCAGAGACCUCUGAAAUAACCUAGCGUGGUUGGGUGAGGUAAGGCAAGUGACCUGGUACCCUCAAGACCAGUGUUCAAUGAUCUGUCAGUGUUCAUUGACUGGAAUCAAACGUUCUGUCAGUGUGCGUUUGGUUUGCUCCCGCUGUUACGUCAAACCCCAUGUUCCCCUCUAGUGAAAGCUAUUGGGUUAUAACUAAACGACUGUUAACAAUGGAUAUCUCGAUUCUC
rnacentral:misc_RNA from 1 species